rnacentral:tRNA from 1 species
UAGUCAGUAGCUCAAUUUGGCAGAGCACCGAACUCCAAAUCCGGGGGUUGUAGGUUCAAGUCCUACCUGGCUAGCCA